rnacentral:rRNA from 1 species
AUUGAACGCUGGCGGCAGGCCUAACACAUGCAAGUCGAGCGGAGCGGCGGACGGGUGAGUAAUGCCUAGGAAUCUGCCUGGUAGUGGGGGAUAACGUCCGGAAACGGGCGCUAAUACCGCAUACUAUCAGAUGAGCCUAGGUCGGAUUAGCUAGUUGGUGGGGUAAAGGCCUACCAAGGCGACGAUCCGUAACUGGUCUGAGAGGAUGAUCAGUCACACUGGAACUGAGACACGGUCCAGACUCCUACGGGAGGCAGCAGUGGGGAAUAUUGGACAAUGGGCGAAAGCCUGAGCCAGCCAUGCCGCGUGUGUGAAGAAGGUCUUCGGAUUGUAAAGCACUUUAAGUUGGGAGGCGGUACCUGCAGAAUAAGCACCGGCUAACUACGUGCCAGCCGCCGCGGUAAUUC